AUACGGAGGGUGCAAGCGUUGUUCGGAAUUACUGGGCGUAAAGGGCGCGUAGGCGGCUCUGCGAGUCGGGCGUGAAAUCCCGGGGCCCAACCCCGGAACGGCGCUCGAUACUGCAGGGCUGGAGACCGGAAGAGGAGGGUGGAAUUCCCAGUGUAGAGGUGAAAUUCGUAGAUAUUGGGAGGAACACCGGUGGCGAAAGCGGCUCUCUGGUCCGGUUCUGACGCUGAGGCGCGAAAGCGUGGGGAGCAAACAGGAUUAGAAACCCUAGUAGUCC
rnacentral:rRNA from 1 species